GGAUGUAGCUCAGAGGUAAAGUUACUGCCUAGCAUGUGUGAGGCUCUAGGUUCAAUCCCUAGCACACUCCC
rnacentral:tRNA from 1 species